CUCGCGAUCAGGCGGGCUAGCGUCAGCUUCUCCUGCAUUGUGGGCGCCGUCGGCGUCCGUGUCGAGGGGCUCGGCGGCCUGGUCUGCCCUCUCUUCUUCCUCUGUUCCGGCACCGCCGUCGCCGACGCAAGGGCCCUCGUCCACCGUCGCGUCGGACGAUGCUUCGGCUGGUGCGGAGAGCACGUCGAUCCAGCCCUCGUCGGAGUCCCACCAGUCCGGCAGCGCCGAAGCAGGGCAGGCCAACGCGCCGAUCCUGUCGGCGGUGCUCUGUGCCGACACCGCGUCGACGUCGACGUCGUGGUGGUGGCGGUGGUCGUCGUCGCUGUCGCUGUCGCUCUCGGACUCCCAGAAUGCCGCGUCCAGCGUGCUCUUUGGCGACACCCACGUGCCCUUGGCGCCGUCCAGGUCCAGCGUGCUCUUGGAGGCGACGAACGGGUGCUCGAGCAGCUGCGCCGCCGUGGACCGGUCGCCGGGGCGCCGCGCCAGGCACCGGCCCAGGAAGUCCUUGGCCUCGGCGGACAGCCACUGGGGCACCUCGGGGACGGCGUCCGUGUACCCGAUGAGGCGCACCGCGGCAAGCACGUCGCCGGCGGCGGCGGCCCACGGCGCGCGGCCGGUGGCCAUCGCGAGGACGGUGCAGCCCAGCGCCCAGACGUCGGCAGGCGGGCCCUGCGCCUCCGCGCGCGCCACCUCCGGCGCCAUGAACGCCGGCGUGCCGCCGAUCGGCAGCGCGGCGUCGUCGUCCGCGGCCCUCCUCGCGCACCCGAAGUCGGCGAGCUUGGCGCGGCCGUCGGCGCCGACGACCACGUUCCGCGGCUUGACGUCGCCGUGCACGAGGCCGGCGGCGUGGACGUACGCGAGCCCCGCGGCCACGUCGGCCGCGUACGCCGCGACGGCGCGCUCCUCGAGCCGCCCGCCGCUCCGGGCCGCGGCCACGUCGGCCAGCGACCCGCCGGGCGCGUACUCGAGGAAGAGCUGGUACGAGCCGUCGCGCCCCGCGCGGCCGCCGAUGCAUGGGACGACGUGCGGCGAGCGGAGGCCCGCCAUGAGCGCGCGCUCCCGCCGCAGCAGCUCCGCGCCCGCCGCCGCCGGCGCGCACUUGACCGCGAACAGAUCCCCCGACGCCUGGUCGGCGGCCAGGAACACCUCCGCGCCCGACGCGCCGCGGCCCAGCGUCCUCACCCGCGUCCACCUCCCGCUCACGGCCAUCGCCAUGCCGCGCGCGGUUGUUGCGAUCUGCUUGCUUGCUUGCUCUUCUUGUUUGUUUCUCGCGUGCUGCUGUGGUGGUGGUUGUUUCUGUUGGCCCUGACUUGUCUCGAGCUGGCCUUGCGUUGCUGAGUCCUUUUUGUGGCGGGUGCCAGGUGCGUUUGUUUAUAUAUAGGGGGGAUGGGGGAUGCUAUUGCUUGUUCUUGGGAUUAGGAAGGACUGCAAGUUUAGAACAUGGAAG
rnacentral:misc_RNA from 1 species